AACGAACGCUGGCGGCAGGCCUAACACAUGCAAGUCGAACGCCCUAGCAAUAGGGAGUGGCAGACGGGUGAGUAACACGUGGGAACCUUCCCUAUACUACGGAAUAGCCCAGGGAAACUUGGAGUAAUACCGUAUACGCCCGAGAGGGGAAAGAGUUAUCGGUAUAGGAUGGGCCCGCGUCGGAUUAGCUAGUUGGUGAGGUAAUGGCUCACCAAGGCGACGAUCCGUAGCUGGUUUGAGAGAACGACCAGCCACACUGGGACUGAGACACGGCCCAGACUCCUACGGGAGGCAGCAGUGGGGAAUAUUGGACAAUGGGCGCAAGCCUGAUCCAGCCAUGCCGCGUGAGUGAUGAAGGCCUUAGGGUUGUAAAGCUCUUUUGCCGGGGACGAUAAUGACGGUACCCGGAGAAUAAGUCCCGGCUAACUUCGUGCCAGCAGCCGCGGUAA
rnacentral:rRNA from 1 species